UAGCGAUUUCAGGACAUAAUUGGUAUUGCCCGUGAAGGUGAAAAUGCACUUUCAACCAGAGGAUUUUACAACUGAUGCCAGGUCACCGAACGUUGAAAAGUCAUGCUAUUCCAUCGAUUUCCCCUUUCACUUCAAAGCGGAAGGCAUCCAUCAGCCAACAUAAGUGCAGCAGAAAAUAAAUCGAGCUGAGGUAACGUAGCUAACGUUACGUACCUAACUAGCUAUUGAACUACAUCUGUUUAUGUAAACCAAAAUAGAGCUCACUAGCUUUCAUAAUAUGCUUGCUGACAUUCCAGAGCAAAUCAAUGUAAUUAGCCAGCUGCUGUCUUGCGAUGUGAUUUUUAAGUUUGCAAGCUAACGUUGGCUUUGUUAGGUUACAUUAGCUGCAGCCUACCGGACCGUAUCUAACCAAUAUCUAGCUAACGAACUACCGCAGAGGCAAAGGUGGCUAUGAGUUCUAUUUCGAGUCCGAUUCAAUCAACAUCUGCAGCAGCAUCAACAUCAAGCUCAGCACCAGGAACUAGUACUAAUCCUGCUGCUGAUGAUGACAACCUCUCCACCAGCUUUAACAGUAGACCCAUUGGAUGAAAGCUUUCAGCUGGGAACAAACUCAAGCUUAACAUAAUCUGACUCGGAAACAAGCCGGGACAGCCAAAGGAGACUUGCAGUACAAACAAAUCUUCUGCAAGAGGUGGGCGGUUUAGAAGGUGUACGAGCCCAGAACCCACUACUUCAGGGAGAGACUUGUCCACCUGACUGUGGAGCAAAGAAAGGACCAGAGAGUUGUCUACAAGGAGCCAGAGUCACAGCUCCCCAAACUCAACAUCCCUGCCAACAUCGCCACAGCGCCAGAGCCUGCUAAACCCGCUGCCAUGACCCAACACAAGACAAGGUUCACCAGCUGAAGAACAUUCUGGAACAUUAAACCAACACAACAUCCCUAUUCAAUUAAACUGAUGUUGUAGUAUAAUAUAGAAUACCUAGUAUGCUCACAAUAACAUUGUGGUAUAGAUAUUGCUAGCUCUUGCACAUAUGUUUCAUACAUAUGUUUAAAAUGUCAGAUGCGAAGGAUUUACUUCAGACAGGAUUUACCCUCAUCCACAUAAUUCACAAGAGAAAGAGUGGGUAAUCUGCCUUUACCGUCGGUCCUAUUAGCCAACGUUCAAUCAUUGGAUAAUAAAAUAGACAAACUAUGAUCCCGUAUAUUCUACCAACAGGACAUAAAAAAAUGUAAUAUCUUAUGUUUCACUGAGUCAUGGCUGAAUUUGUAAACAGCUGGUGCACGAACUCUAAUGAAGGAGAUGGCUUGUGGUGAGAUAUUGUGUAGCUAAAGGUAAUCCGUCAGCCUAUUAAUUAGGAAAAUAUAAAAAAUGGCCUAUUACCUGGCUAUUCAAAAUACAAAUGGACUUUAAUUGUAGAAUAACUCCGUUAGCCGCUCUGCACAAUCAAUUAACCAACAGCGUUGCCUAGACCAGUGGUUCCCUGUGGGACAUGCCCCCUGGGGGGGUGCGACGGGUCAGCAAGGGGGGCACUGACCAGUAUUUCACUGGUCAUCCCCAAAGCCACCUACUUUGGCCGCCUUUCCUUACAGUUCUCUGCUGCCAAUGACUGGAACGAAUUGCAAAAAUCACUGAAGUUGGAGACUUAUAUCUCCCUUACUAACUUUAAAGCAUCAGCUGUCAGAGCAGUUUACCGAUCGCUGCAGCUGUACACAGCACAUCUGUAAAUAGCCCAUCCAAGCAAAUACCUACCUCAUCCCGUUUUUGUUUUUCUGCUCUUAUGCACACCAGUAUAUCUACUUGCACAUCCUCAUCUGCACAUCUAUCACUCCAGUGUUAAUUGCUAAUUUGUAAGUUAUUUGCUAGGCCUAUUUAUUGGCUUACCUCCUUACUUAAUAUGCACACACUGUAUACAGAUUUUUCUAUUGUGUUAUUGACUGUACAUUUAUCCCAUGUUAAACUCUGUUUUUUUUUGUCACACUGCUUUGCUUUAUCUUGGUCAGGUCGCAGUUGUAAAUGAGAACUUGUUCUCAACUGGCCUACCUGGUGAAAAAAAUAAAUAAUAAUAAUUGAGAUGAUAAAAAAAUAGGCAUCUAUUUCCUGUUAUUCAAAUAAAUUCAUUAAAAAUCCUACAA